rnacentral:rRNA from 1 species
AACGAACGCUGGCGGCAUGCCUAACACAUGCAAGUCGAACGAGACCUUCGGGUCUAGUGGCGCACGGGUGCGUAACGCGUGGGAACCUGCCCUUAGGUUCGGAAUAACUCUCCGAAAGGGGUGCUAAUACCGGAUAAUGUCUUCGGACCAAAGAUUUAUCGCCUUUGGAUGGGCCCGCGUUGGAUUAGCUAGUUGGUAGGGUAAAAGCCUACCAAGGCGACGAUCCAUAGGUGGUCUGAGAGGAUGAUCAGCCACACUGGGACUGAGACACGGCCCAGACUCCUACGGGAGGCAGCAGUGGGUAAUAUUGGAACAUGGGCGAAAGCCUGAUCCAGCAAUGCCGCGUGAGUGAUGAAGGCCUUAGGGUUGUAAAGCUCUUUUACCCGGGAUGAUAAUGACAGUACCGGGAGAAUAAGCUCCGGCUAACUCCGUG